GGAAUCUUCCGCAAUGGACGAAAGUCUGACGGAGCAACGCCGCGUGAGUGAUGAAGGUUUUCGGAUCGUAAAGCUCUGUUGUUAGGGAAGAACAAGUAUCGGAGUAACUGCCGGUACCUUGACGGUACCUAACCAGAAAGCCACGGCUAACUACGUGCCAGCAGCCGCGGUAAUACGUAGGUGGCAAGCGUUGUCCGGAAUUAUUGGGCGUAAAGCGCGCGCAGGCGGUCUUUUAAGUCUGAUGUGAAAGCCCACGGCUCAACCGUGGAGGGUCAUUGGAAACUGGAAGACUUGAGUACAGAAGAGGAGAGUGGAAUUCCACGUGUAGCGGUGAAAUGCGUAGAUAUGUGGAGGAACACCAGUGGCGAAGGCGACUCUCUGGUCUGUAACUGACGCUGAGGCGCGAAAGCGUGGGGAGCGAA
rnacentral:rRNA from 1 species